rnacentral:rRNA from 1 species
GAUGAACGCUAGCUACAGGCCUAACACAUGCAAGUCGAGGGACCGGCGCACGGGUGAGUAACACGUAACCAACCUGCCCUUUACUCGGGGAUAGCCUUUCGAAAGAAAGAUUAAUACCCGAUAUAAAGGGUGGGGAUGCGUUCAAGUAGGUGGUUGGUGAGGUAACGGCCCACCAAGCCUUCGAUGGAUAGGGGUUCUGGUAGGAAGGUACCCCAGAUUGGAACUGAGGCACGGACCACACUCGUACGGGAGGCAGGAGUGAGGAAUAUUGGGCAAUGGGCGCUAGCCUGACCCAGCCAAGUAGCGUGAAGAAUGAAGGGUUAUGGGUCGUAAUCUUCUGUUAUAUAAGAAUAGGUAUUAUAUGAAUAAGGAUCGGCUAACUCCGUGCCAGCAGCCGCGGUAAUAC